rnacentral:rRNA from 1 species
ACGGACGCUGGCGGCGUGCUUAACACAUGCAAGUCGAACGGUGAAGCGCCUUCCUUUUUGGUGGGUGUGGAUGAGUGGCGAACGGGUGAGUAACACGUGAGUAACCUGCCCCCUUCUUCUGGAUAACCGCAUGAAAGUGUGGCUAAUACGGGAUAUUCUGGGUCUGUCGCAUGAUGGGUCUGGGAAAGAUAUUGUUUCGGUGGGGGAUGGGCUCGCGGCCUAUCAGCUUGUUGGUGGGGUGAUGGCCUACCAAGGCGGUGACGGGUAGCCGGCCUGAGAGGGUGGACGGUCACACUGGGACUGAGACACGGCCCAGACUCCUACGGGAGGCAGCAGUGGGGAAUAUUGCACAAUGGGCGCAAGCCUGAUGCAGCGACGCCGCGUGAGGGAUGGAGGCCUUCGGGUUGUGAACCUCUUUCGCCAGUGAAGCAGGCCUGCCUCGUUUGUGGGUGGGUUGACGGUAGCUGGAGAAGAAGCGCCGGCUAACUACGUG